rnacentral:lncRNA from 1 species
UCUGUUUGAUAAUGACAUGUUCAUUAUUUCGACCAAAAAAGUACGUGACUCUGUUACGAUAUGGAUAUAUUUCUCUUCUUUUUACAUAUCAGAAAAUUUUACUAACAUAAGGACAAAACUUAGGGGGGAGAUACUACUCCUCUUGUAACCUCUACCUAUUAUUAGUUAGCAAAGUAAAAAUUUAGAAGAAACAGGCAACUAUCAUGAUGUUAGUUACAAUUUGUUAUCAAUAAUAGAAAAGCCAUGUACUAUACAAUCAAGGGAACCAAAUCCUCUAAGAGAACCCCACCAAAUUAAUGAGUUUGUUUAUGGUAGCUUGACCAUUCUUGUACUAGUCUAUCAAUGACCAUAUAAUGGGAUAAACUUGGCAUGCUAAAAGGGAUUUCUCAUAAUUGAAAGUAUGAUUUUCCAUAAAGUUCGGUUGAAUAGGUGAAAGUAGUUUUUAGGAUUAGAAAAAAUGUUUUAGUCUUUUCUAGUGAAGAUGCUUUCAAGAAAAUAUUUAUACAAGCGAUGUUGAAAGGAGAGGAUAAUCAAACUCAGGACGUCCUAGUAAAACUUUUUUUCUAACAAAAUAGUUGAUGAGCAAAACGCUUCAUAUAGUAAUUAAGUGUCUAAUUAUAGGAUCAAGCCAGGUUAUUACGUCAGUAACUAAUUAAGGUCUAAUCCAGGACAAUGUGACUUUUUGAAGACGCAGCUUAGCAUUUUGUUGCAACUUUUCCUAAGGAGUGGUUCACACUCUUCUCCAACUAUUUCUUGCCAUUAUGCUUAGUUUGCCUUAAAGCAACUUAUAGCUAACCAACUCAUCCCUCUAGAAUAUUCUAGUUUCAGAAAUAAGUUGGAGUGUGCAUCCCCAACGGUUACUUAUAAGAAAAGUUAUCUUCUAUAUUCGACAGUUUGAUGUGUUGUGUUGUUUGAUUGUGAAAAACCCAUAAAGAUAAGAUCCAAAGGGUGUGAAGUGAAUCAAAGGAUGAGACUAGACUGUUGACUCUUGAGGCCUCCCCUGUGUGUUCUGUUCUGUUCUGUGAUGUCGUGGUUGUGGGUAUGCUCUGUUUCCCAACGCACAACAAAAGACAAAAACAAAUAAAGCAAAAAACCCGAAAGUAGGAAGGCGCACAAAUGGGUUAUAUUUUUAUAUAGAAAAAUUAGUUGCAUAAUCUUAUUAUUUUUAGCAUAUAAUGAGGUGAAAUGAAUUUGUUAUUGAAACAUAGUGGCAAUGUUAUUUGCCAGAUGUAUUGGUAUCAAUAAAUUAGUAAACAAGUUGGUGCCUGUAACGUUAUUAUAUAUUCAUUUGAAAACGUUAAAGCACUUUCCGUAAUUUAAUGAAAUUGAUGUGUUUUUGGUGAAAACACAGCAAUAUAAACCAGAAUUUGCUCCAAACAAAAACCAAGAGAGGCCAAAAACAAACACACCCAUAAUUAAGGUAAAGGAGGAGGUGGACAUGUAUUAUUUGUACACCAUUAAUUCAAUUAUUC